rnacentral:rRNA from 1 species
AUUGAACGCUGGCGGCAGGCUUAACACAUGCAAGUCGAACGAGUGGCGGACGGGUGAGUCAUGCUUGGGAAUAUGGCUUAUGGAGGGGGAUAACGACGGGAAACUGUCGCUAAUACCGCGUACCAUUGGAUGAGCCCAAGUGGGAUUAGGUAGUUGGUGGGGUAAUGGCCUACCAAGCCGAAGAUAUCUAGCUGGUCUGAGAGGAUGACCAGCCACACAGGGACUGAGACACGGCCCGGACUCCUACGUGAGGCAGCAGUGGUGAAUAUUGCGAAAUGGGGGCAACCUGACGCAGCCAUGCCGCGUGAAUGAAGAAGGCCUUCGGGUUGUAAAGUUCUUUCGGUGACGAGGCGUUAAUCACAGAAGAAGCACCGGCUAACUCCGUGCCAGCAGCCACGGUAAUUC